UUCCUCUCGUCAGGUUUUUUUCUUCUUUUGGUCUGAAAAAUCCGCCUGUUAGUUAAAAGUCCUAACGCGCCCAACUACUCGUUUCCUUUCUCAUACACCUCUCUCUCUCUGUUUCUCAAUUUGGUCUUCAGAGAAAAUUGAAGCCAUAGACUCAGUCGUCGAUCCUCUCAGAGUGUUCGCAAAGGAAAGCACUCGACUGUUGAAGAGGUGCCACAAGCCUGAUCGCAAAGGUUCACGAAGGUGGCGAUCCGUACAGCCAUCGGGUUCGUAGCAAUGGGAUUCGUUGGGUUUUUCGUGAAGCUGGUCUUCAUCCCCAUCAACAACAUCAUCGUCGGCUCUGUUUAGUUUCAGGUCAUGCUUAAGGUUCUGAGUUGACUAGAUCAUGGAGGCAGGCAGCAACUUGUACUCAAAGAGAAAGCAAUAGUAUUUUAGUUUACUUCUCAUUUGGUUGGGCUCUUCUUUGCCUUAGUUCAGUAAAAUUAUGAUGCUUCUUUUUGCCCAAACAUAUGUAAAACUGUGAUACAUCAACUUGUUUAGUUUUCCAUAAUUGAGACCUCAUCCA